rnacentral:rRNA from 1 species
AUUGAACGCUGGCGGCAUGCUUUACACAUGCAAGUCGGACGGCAGCACAGAGACGCUUGCUUCUUGGGUGGCGAGUGGCGAACGGGUGAGUAACAUAUCGGAACGUACCGAGCAGUGGGGGAUAACUAAUCGAAAGAUUAGCUAAUACCGCAUAUUUUCUGAGGAAGAAAGCAGGGGACCUUUGGGCCUUGCGCUGUUUGAGCGGCCGAUAUCUGAUUAGCUAGUUGGUGGGGUAAAGGCCUACCAAGGCGACGAUCAGUAGCGGGUCUGAGAGGAUGAUCCGCCACACUGGGACUGAGACACGGCCCAGACUCCUACGGGAGGCAGCAGUGGGGAAUUUUGGACAAUGGGCGCAAGCCUGAUCCAGCCAUGCCGCGUGUCUGAAGAAGGCCUUCGGGUUGUAAAGGACUUUUGUCAGGGAAGAAAAGGGCGGGGUUAAUACCCCUGUCUGAUGACGGUACCUGAAGAAUAAGCACCGGCUAACUACGUG